AGUGAACGCUGGCGGUAGGCCUAACACAUGCAAGUCGAACGGCAGCACAGUAAGAGCUUGCUCUUACGGGUGGCGAGUGGCGGACGGGUGAGGAAUACAUCGGAAUCUACUUUUUCGUGGGGGAUAACGUAGGGAAACUUACGCUAAUACCGCAUACGACCUACGGGUGAAAGCAGGGGAUCUUCGGACCUUGCGCGAUUGGAUUAGCCGAUGUGGGAUUAGCUAGUUGGCGGGGUAAUGGCCCACCCAGGCGACGAUCCGUAGCUGGUGUGAGAGGAUGAUCAGCCACAUGGGAACUGAGACACGGUCCAGACUCCUAAGGGAGGCAGCAGUGGGGAAUAGUGGACAAUGGGCGCAAGCCUGAUCCAGCGAUACCGCGUGGGUGAAGAAGGCCUUCGGGUUGUAAAGACGUUUUGUUGGGAAAGAAAAGCAGCAGGUUAAUACCACGCUGUUCUGACGGUACCCAAAGAAUAAGCACCGGCUAACUUCGUG
rnacentral:rRNA from 1 species